GGCUGGCCCGAGUACAGUGGUAUUUACAACUAGUUAUAGCUUCCUUUCUUCUUUCUCCAUUCCCACUUCUUCACUUGAGUAGCCUAAG
rnacentral:Y_RNA from 1 species